GACCAGCUGCUUGCCGACAUUGCGGCCAGUGAAUAGCCCAAUGAGAGCUGCCGGUGCCGCCUCGAGCCCCUCAACGAUGUCCUCCACAUACACCACCUUUCCUUCCCUCAGGUAUCCUGCCAUCUCCUUCUCAUACCGGUGGUAUAUUGCAAUGUAGUUGCUCACCAGGAACCCCUCCAUCCGUAGGCUCUUGGCGAAUAAGUAGAAGAGGUUCCGCACCCCGUCUGGCCGCUCCAGGUUAUAUUGCGAGAUCAUCCCACAUAUCGUUAUCUUGCCGCCGAUACGCAUGUUCGGCAGCACGGCGUCCAACAUUGCACCACCCACGUUAUCAAAGUAGAUGUCGAUGCCGUCCGGGAAGCACCUGUUAAGGGCUCCCUCCAGGUCCAGCUCCUUCUUGUAGUUGAACGCGUCAUGAAAGCCAAACUUAGUUUUGAGCAGCUUGACCUUCUCAUCAGAACCAGCACUGCCAACCACAUAGCAGCCUGUGAUCUUAGCCAGUUGCCCAACAAUCUGACCUACGGCACCGGAUGCCGCGGAGACGAAAACAUAGUCGCCUUUCUUAGGCUUGGAGACCUCAAAGAACCCACCAUAGGCAGUAAGCCCAGCUAUUCC
rnacentral:sRNA from 1 species